GACGAACGCUGGCGGCGUGCUUAACACAUGCAAGUCGAACGGUGAAGCGCCUUCCUUUUUGGUGGGUGUGGAUGAGUGGCGAACGGGUGAGUAACACGUGAGUAACCUGCCCCCUUCUUCUGGAUAACCGCAUGAAAGUGUGGCUAAUACGGGAUAUUCUGGGUCUGUCGCAUGAUGGGUCUGGGAAAGAUAUUGUUUCGGUGGGGGAUGGGCUCGCGGCCUAUCAGCUUGUUGGUGGGGUGAUGGCCUACCAAGGCGGUGACGGGUAGCCGGCCUGAGGGGGUGGACGGUCACAGUGGGACUGAGCCACGGCCCAGACUCCAAGGGGGGGCAGCGGGGGGGAAUAUUGCACAAUGGGGGAAGGCCGGAGGCACGGACGCCGGGGGAGGGAGGGGGGCUUUUGGUUUGGAAACCUUUUUCGCGAGGGAAGCAGGCCUGCCUGUGUUGUGGGGGGGUUGACGGGGGCUGGAUAAGAAGCGCCGGCUAACUACGG
rnacentral:rRNA from 1 species